UUAAGUUCAGCGGGUAUUCCUACCUGAUUCGAGGUCAACUCGGUAAAAGUUGGGCGUUUUACGGCAGUGGCCGCGUCGGGCUCCCGUUGCGAGGUUGUGCUACUACGCAGGGGUGGCACGCGACGAGGCCGCCAAUUCAUUUCGGGGGCGGCGUGGCACACUGUGAGACAGCGGGCCAGGAUGCCGUCCCCCAACACCAG
rnacentral:misc_RNA from 1 species